UACGAAGGGGGCUAGCGUUGCUCGGAAUGACUGGGCGUAAAGGGCGCGUAGGCGGCUUGCACCGUCAGAUGUGAAAUUCCUGGGCUUAACCUGGGGGCUGCAUUUGAUACGUGUGGGCUUGAGUGCGGAAGAGGGUCGUGGAAUUCCCAGUGUAGAGGUGAAGUUCGUAGAUAUUGGGAAGAACACCGGUGGCGAAGGCGGCGACCUGGUCCGUGACUGACGCUGAGGCGCGAAAGCGUGGGGAGCAAACAGG
rnacentral:rRNA from 1 species